rnacentral:rRNA from 1 species
UACGUAGGGUGCGAGCGUUGUCCGGAAUUACUGGGCGUAAAGAGCUCGUAGGUGGUUUGUCGCGUUGUUCGUGAAAACUCACAGCUUAACUGUGGGCGUGCGGGCGAUACGGGCAGACUGGAGUACUGCAGGGGAGACUGGAAUUCCUGGUGUAGCGGUGGAAUGCGCAGAUAUCAGGAAGAACACCCGUGGCGAAGGCGGCUCUCUGGGACGGUACUGACGCUGAGACGCGAAAGCGUGGGGAGCAAACAGG